rnacentral:rRNA from 1 species
UACGUAGGGUCCGAGCGUUGUCCGGAAUUAUUGGGCGUAAAGGGCUCGUAGGCGGUUUGUCGCGUCGGGAGUGAAAACUCAGGGCUCAACCCUGAGCGUGCUUCCGAUACGGGCAGACUAGAGGUAUGCAGGGGAGAACGGAAUUCCUGGUGUAGCGGUGAAAUGCGCAGAUAUCAGGAGGAACACCGGUGGCGAAGGCGGUUCUCUGGGCAUGUCCUGACGCUGAGGAGCGAAAGUGUGGGGAGCGAACAGG